rnacentral:piRNA from 1 species
UGGUGAGCUUUGUCCACGUGACGCACUGA